rnacentral:tRNA from 1 species
UCACUGGCAGUCCAGUGAUUAGGAUUCUGCACUUGUGCUGCAGGGGGCCUGGGUUCGAUCCCUGGUCAGGGAA